AACCUAGCACACCUGCGGUGUGUACCUGCGGAGGGAUCAUUACAGAGUUGCAAAACUCCCUAAACCAUUGUGAACGUUACCUAAACCGUUGCUUCGGCGGGCGGCCCGGGUCCUUCCCGGCGCCCCUCGGCCCUCGCGGGCGCCCGCCGGAGGUAAACCAAACUAUUGCAUUGUAUGGCCUCUCUGAGUCUUCUGUACUGAAUAAGUCAAAACUUUCAACAACGGAUCUCAGAUCGGAAG
rnacentral:misc_RNA from 1 species